rnacentral:rRNA from 1 species
GACGAACGCUGGCGGCGUGCUUAACACAUGCAAGUCGAACGGAAAGGCCCUGCUUUUGUGGGGUGCUCGAGUGGCGAACGGGUGAGUAACACGUGAGUAACCUGCCCUUGACUUUGGGAUAACUUCAGGAAACUGGGGCUAAUACCGGAUAGGAGCUCCUGCUGCAUGGUGGGGGUUGGAAAGUUUCGGCGGUUGGGGAUGGACUCGCGGCUUAUCAGCUUGUUGGUGGGGUAGUGGCUUACCAAGGCUUUGACGGGUAGCCGGCCUGAGAGGGUGACCGGCCACAUUGGGACUGAGAUACGGCCCAUACUCCUACGGGAGGCAGCAGUGGGGAAUAGUGCACAAUGGGCGGAAGCCUGAUGCAGCAACGCCGCGUGCGGGAUGACGGCCUUCGGGUUGUAAACCGCUUUCGCCUGUGACGAAGCGUGAGUGACGGUAAUGGGUAAAGAAGCACCGGCUAACUACGUG